GCCGAAGUGGCGGAAUGGCAGACGCGCCGGACUCAAAAUCCGGUCCUCGCAAGAGGGUGUGGGUUCAAGUCCCACCUUCGGUA
rnacentral:tRNA from 3 species